rnacentral:rRNA from 1 species
AACGAACGCUGGCGGCAGGCUUAACACAUGCAAGUCGAGCGGGGUGAUGGUGCUUGCACUAUCACUUAGCGGCGGACGGGUGAGUAAUGCUUAGGAAUCUGCCUAUUAGUGGGGGACAACAUCUCGAAAGGGAUGCUAAUACCGCAUACGUCCUACGGGAGAAAGCAGGGGAUCACUUGUGACCUUGCGCUAAUAGAUGAGCCUAAGUCGGAUUAGCUAGUUGGUGGGGUAAAGGCCUACCAAGGCGACGAGCUGUAGCGGGUCUGAGAGGAUGAUCCGCCACACUGGGACUGAGACACGGCCCAGACUCCUACGGGAGGCAGCGGUGGGGGAUAUUGGACAAUGGGGGGAACCCUGAUCCAGCCAUGCCGCGUGUGUGAAGAAGGCCUUAUGGUUGUAAAGCACUUUAAGCGAGGAGGAGGCUCUUUUGGUUAAUACCCAAGAUGAGUGGACGUUACUCGCAGAAUAAGCACCGGCUAACUCUGUGCCAGCCGCCGCCGUAA